AGCCUCCACAUCCCCAAAAUGGGCGGCCACGACAUGGAAAAGGAGAGAGCUCGAUUGCGAAGCUUGGCCGCCGAUUUUGGUUUCGAUGAAGAAUUGGCGCAGGCCUGCUUGGAAUGGAUAAUCAAUCUCUACGGUGGUGAUGAGCAGGAACUCGUCUCUUUUAGAGUACUGUGUUAGGAACCACGACCUCCACAAUGCUGCAAUGGACACCAUUCCACCUUCAUUCUUGGGACAACAGUUCAGCCCUCUAUUAUUUUGUCAUGGCGCCUUCAGAGCAGGCUAGAAAGGCUUCCGUCUUGACUGCAAACUUGCUUGUCCUCAACCCAGGAGUCUAGAUCGUGUCUCAGUUCCAAUGUGGUUGAUCAUCCUCUCGAACUAGCUAUUGAUCAUUGCCUUGGUAAGCUAUUGCCUCAUCAACUAGCUAAUCAGACGGGAGUCCCUCGGGCGGAUUUCUCAUUUUGCUUCUCAGCGUAUGAGGUACUAGCAGUCGUUUUUUGCUAUUGUUCCCCUCACAAGGUCUGGUUCUUAUGCAUUACUCAUUCGCCCGUCACUGGAAACACCACUUCGUGUUCGACUUGCAUGUGUCUAACUUUCAACUUUACGAGAUAUCCUUAGUAUAUAAAUCACU